AGUAAACUGAAAGUCUUAACGUUUGGAGCCGAUUCCUGGCGACUUUGCCUCAAUUCCCAGAGAUACACAAAUGCAGAAGAGGAAGUAUAAAACUGGUGGAAGUAAAAGUCAUCUUUCCACCUGGACUGGGUUUUUUGCUCUAUCUUGGCUCUGAUAUCUUUAUUUAUUAUAUCAGUGUUGUUCAACAGUGAUCUUCCUCAUCAUCAAAUUUUAAUUUCCCUCUUUUUAAUUUGUUCACUCAUUUUUGCCAUUCCAGUCAUUCUCCUGACUGGUCUUUAACUCUUUUAUCCAUCUACUUCACAAGAUAUCUAGUUUUGUUAUGUUUCCCAGACUUUCAAAAAUUUAUUUUGAUACUGAUGUUUCAAGUUACAUGUGGCGACAGUCUUUCAAAAGAUAUGCCCACCUGAUUAUACCUGUCCCACUGUGGAAAAUGAAUUUUUGUUUCACACACAUUCUCAGAUUACAAAUUCUUGACUCUGUACAUUGAACCCACAGUCAUAACCAGGAAUUAUAAUCCUCCCUAUCAACCACUUACUUGAUGACUUGAGGGAUUGCAGGAUAGAAUUCAUUUCAAUUUCUGGAGACUUCCUUAACAGAGAAAGCCUCCAAAAAACUGAUUCAGCCACUGGACAACAAGUUCCCCAGAAUAGAAGCUUUAACACAGGUCAAGGUUUAAAAAUUUUCAACAUAAAAAAGGGUUUGGAGCAUCCAUAGCUUUGUCUAGGAAACAUAUUUCAACAAAGAUGUAGUUAUUUAACUAGCAUGUAGUUAUAGUAAU